UGGGGAAUAUUGCACAAUGGGCGCAAGCCUGAUGCAGCCAUGCCGCGUGUGUGAAGAAGGCCUUCGGGUUGUAAAGCACUUUCAGCGAGGAGGAAGGUGGUGAGCUUAAUACGCUCAUCAAUUGACGUUACUCGCAGAAGAAGCACCGGCUAACUCCGUGCCAGCAGCCGCGGUAAUACGGAGGGUGCAAGCGUUAAUCGGAAUUACUGGGCGUAAAGCGCACGCAGGCGGUUUGUUAAGUCAGAUGUGAAAUCCCCGGGCUCAACCUGGGAACUGCAUUUGAAACUGGCAAGCUAGAGUCUCGUAGAGGGGGGUAGAAUUCCAGGUGUAGCGGUGAAAUGCGUAGAGAUCUGGAGGAAUACCGGUGGCGAAGGCGGCCCCCUGGACGAAGACUGACGCUCAGGUGCGAAAGCGUGGGGAGCAAAACAGGAUUAGAUACCCUGGUAGUCCACGCUGUAAACGAUGUCGAUUUUGGAGGUUGUGCCCUUGAGGCGUGGCUUCCGGAGCUAACGCGUUAAAUCGACCGCCUGGGGAGUACGGCCGCAAGGUUAAAACUC
rnacentral:rRNA from 1 species